UACAUCAUGGUCAGGGUGAUCAAGAGGGGAUACGAGGCUGGUUUAAUGUUCAAAAAUCAAUCAAUAACUUGUCAUAUUGACAGAACCCAUUGGAUCAUCUCAUUAAAUAUCUUUAGAAAAGGCCUUUGAUACCGUUCAACACUGUACAUGAUAGAAACUCUCAGUAAACUAGGAAGGGAACUGUCUCAAUCUGAUAAAGAACAUCUACAAAAACCCACAACUAACAUCAAACAUAAUGGUGAAAAUUAAAUACUUUUCCCCUAAGAUUGAGAACAAGACAAAUCACCUAUCUGAUAAAGGUAUCCAGAGUAUACUAUAAAGAGCCUCAAAACUCAAUAAUAAAACAAAUGCAAUUUAAAAGUGAGCAAAAGAUUUGAACAUUUUUCAAAAGAAGAUAUAUGGAUGGCAAAUAAGCACAUUAAAAUGCUUAAUAUCUUUAAUCAUUAAAAUGCAAAUUAAAAUUUCCAUGAGAAUUAUUACAAUUGCCAUGUUAUUAGAAUUGCUACAAUGAAAACUGACAAUACCAAGUGUCGACAAGAUCAGGAGCAACCACCAUCCUCAGCAGUGCAGCAGGGAAUGUAACCACUCUGUAAAAAGAGUUUUGCAGUUUAUUAUAAAGUUAAGCAUAUCCUUUGCAUACCUGGAAAUCCCACUCCUAGGUAUUGACCCACAUGAAAUAAAAACCUAUAUUCACACAGAAACUAUACACAAAUGUUUAUGGUAGCUUUAUUUUUAAUCACCCAAUACUAGAAACAACCCAGAUGUCCCAAAACUGGGAAAUCAAUAAACUGUAGUAUGUUCAUACAAUGGAAUACUGCUCAGCAAAGAAAAGGAAAGAACUGCUGAUGCAGACAAUGUGGUCAAAUCCCAAAUGUGUUAUGCUAAGUGAAACAAGUCAGACUCAAAAACCCACGUACUGUGUGAUUCAUUUAUAUAACAUUCUUGAAGAGGCAAAACUGGAUACUAGCACCUCCAACUAGUUUCAGGCUACUACUCCAUCCUUGUUCAAUCCAAGACUUACUCUGAAGGCUUGUCAUCUCCCUAGAACAUGGCAACAUCCUCCUCAUUGCUCUCUCUGCCCACUUGCCUUCUGUCCUGUGCACAUGCUGUCCUAUAGAUAGAUCUAAAGCAGAAAUGCAUAGCCAGCACCUUCUUUCAAAGGCUCCCCAUUGCCUGUGCUCUGAGGUCUGAAUCCAUCCCAUAGCUACAAUGGCUUCCCCAGCUCCUCCUAAGUUCCAGGAAUACUGAACUAUUAUUUUGUAUUUGCUGUUUAAGACAGGCUCAGUUCUACCUCGAUGGCUUUGUGGGCCUGUUCCCUAUUCCAAGAAUUUCAGCACCCUGUUUUUCUGUCUUCUCAACCUCCAAGGCUCCCUUGAGACACUCUCUCCUGGGGUGUACCCCUAGGACAGAGCCACAUACUUCCUCUUCCGUGUUCCUGAAUCAGUCUGCUUGUUAUGUCUCUGACUGUGGUGGCCAUGGCCAUCACCCAGUCUGGAAACUUCCCCUGCUCUGCUCCCCACCCCCCUGAUCUCUCACAGGCAUUACCCCCAGCAAAUGGCUUGCACAUCCAGGUCUAUCUUGGCUUCUGCUUCCAGAAGGACAUCUCAUCGGCUAUUCCUUUUUUCUCAUGUUGGUGUUUACUUUUUCCUCCACUGGUUCUUAAUUCAUGCAUUUAUUAAUUUGCUCAACAGACCCACCAUUCACACUGCCUGCUAUCCACAGCUCAGUGCCAAGGUCUCUGUCUUUCCACUUCAUCCAGCUGGUUCUCACUCAUCUGUCUUUGCCCUCUGCCCAACACACACAGAGAUUCCACAUCCUGUGGCCCCUCCAGUCCUGGGCUUAUCCAUUCCCAGGUCUUGCAAUGCUAUGUCUUAUUUCUUAGCUAGCUUCCUCCUUUCAGACCCUCUACAAGUCUUGGGUGAUGGCACCUAGAGUGGCGACUGCUUACCACUGUGAAUGGCAUGUAUUAGGGUGCAGACACUACAAGUUGACUGAGUAACUUUCACAUGACUGUUGUCAGGAUUGAUUAGAACAGAUAAUGUGGGUAAAGCAACAUGCAUGAAACCUGGCAGGCAGUAGGUGCAUGAUAAAUACACAUGAUUGAUUUCCAGUAAAUUUCAUUUGAUGGCCUAUCUCACAGAUUGGAGCCAAUGUUUCCUUCUAUUGUAUUCUGUGUUUUUAAUUUUAUUUUCUGUUGAUGCAUCUCAUGUAUGGCUGAGAAAGAGAAAGACGGUGGAAACUUCUCCAUUGAAUUGUAUUAUUUCUUCCCUGGGACACAGGACACAAAUGUGCAUGUCUCCUGGGGUAGCCCCACACCAGGAUGGAGUCAGGAGACCUAAAUGCUAGCCUGCGCAGCUGUGCCAAUAGCUUGAUUUGUGACCCUGUCUUCCUGUGGGCCUCAGUUUCACCAACUGCAAUAGAGAAUGAGGCUUGGAAUUUCAUAAUCCUUACAGAACUAAGAUUCUGCGAUAUGGUCCAGAACCAAUAGAAAGGAACUUGGAUAUGGACUUGGGUAUGAGUGUUUGUUUAGUUCAUCAUACUGAUUUCUGAGAAGACAAAGUUACAAACAUGCCCAAUAAACACUUUAUAGCUUGAUGUAAAUUGCACUUUACCAGUUACCUGUGGGGAAUUUAGGUCUCUUUCACCCACAUUUGAAAGUUUUUGCCAAAAGUGGGAGAAGGAAACAAACAUUUAUUACAUGUUAGCCACAUGCCAGUGUCCUGGUGUAGAGAUGGUGUGUGUGUGUCCUCGCUGAACCUUCAAAGCCCCAUUCUGGGGCAGCCAAUGUUAUUCUCAUGGUUUUGACUAGGAAACCAACACUCAGAGAAAAGAAAUGUUCCUAUACACUUAGAAACACCAAAUGAUUGGAUUUAGAACCCACUGCUCCCUGGCUCCAAAGCCUAUGUUCUUCUUUGAGAUCAAGUGCUUUUGCAUUUAGAUUUUUUAAAAAAUAAUUUAAAAAACAAUAAAAACCCAAAACUAUCAACUAUUUAAAAAUGACAAGUCAGUGGAUGCUUGGCCAAAGAAAGUAAGAAGCAUGUGCUCUUAAGUAGCCAUCCUCAUUUAAACCCCAGCUCUGUCCCCCACUAGCCAUUGCUGUCUUGGGCAAGUUCUUCAACUCCUUCUGCUUCCAUUUCUUCAUCUGUAAAAUGGGUAUAAUAAUAGUACCUAUCUUCUAGGUUGUUACACACAUCAAAUAAGUUAAUAUGCAUAGAGGACUUGAAGUAGUGCCUGCCUAGGACCUGGUAAAUAUGCAAUAAAUGUUAGGAAUUAUUCUCUUUAACAUUAUUAUUAUCAUCAUCAUGGUCAUUGUUAUUUUGAUCCAAGCCUGGGAUCUGGCGGAUUUCUGCUGCCCGUUCUGUUGUGGAGGGCCCUGGGUGGGUGGCAAGGGAUGUCCUUCUGGGGAAUGUCAUUGUGGCUGCUAGGCUGCAGUCCAGCCCAUUUACUCAUGGAGAGGAACCACACAGCGCCUGAGCACUACUUGGCCAGGGAGACGACAGCUUCCUGGAGUGUUGCUUGCUGAUUGUUGGAGCAGGACCCUGAACAUGUAUAAACAUCCCAGGCUGUGGGGACACUGCCUCCCCCUGCUCCAGGCCCUUCGCCCAACCCCAUCCGCUCUCAGCUCUGGCCCUGCUCUAUCUUAAGGGCUUAAGUGCUCUGGGCUCGUGAGCCCAGGAACUGCUCUGCUUAUUCUCCAGGAAUGCAAGAGGCUUGUGCUCCCCUGUAGUGGGAGAAUGUGACAACAUGAAUGGUAUACCAGGAGCUCCUGGCAUCCUGGUGAGUCAGGGGAAUCUAAGAACAAAAGGGGCUAGAGGUCAUUUCGGAGCAGUCCCCUCCAACACCAGGUGGGAGUAAAUCUGACAGCACCACUCCCCUCCCCCAAUAGUGUUCGUUCAUUCAUUGGACAAACUUUCCCUAGGCUCCCUGUGUUGCAAAACAAUAUUAAAGGGGUAAUUCAAUAAUACUGACUAAUAUUUAUUAAACACAUAAAAUCCUAGGCAUUGUUCUAAGAACCUCACAACUGUGUGGGUUCACUUAAUCCUCUCAUUGAAGCCCAGUGUACAAGUUCUGUGAUUAUCCCUAUUUUGUAGAUAAGGAGACUGAGAUACAGAGUUGAGUGACUUGCCCAGGGUCACACAGCUGAGGUAGGCAGGCAGGGAACUCAAAUCUAAGAAGUUGGGCUUCAGCGCUGCCCCAGUGUCAGCUUCUGAGGAGAUGUAGGCAGGUCAUGCAGCUCCUCAGCACUUUCUCAUGCUUCUUCCAGCCUCACGACAACCCUGCGAGGCUGCAAAGAUUUUAGCCUGGUUUAAAUGAGAGGACCAGAGCCGUGAAGCCACAUGGUCAGGUUCACACAAGUCAACAGCCAGAUUAAAUCAGAACUCAGGUUUCCUGGCUCUUAAUGUACUAAUUCAAUGUUUUCUAUAUGGGGCUGCAUUUGUGUGUGUGUGUGUGUGAGUGCACAGAUAUCUGCACAUGUGUUUGUAUGUACUCACAGGCACCCAUUUCUAUGUACACAUGUGUACACACUAUGUACAAGUGUGUGUGUGUGUUUGGUGGGGGUCAGAUGGGUUGGGGAGGGUCUGAGACUCAGUGUGGCUGGUGGGAGCUCUGAGAGAUUCUAACCUAGUGACCUAGGUGUGCAUCCUGGCUCUACCACCAAGGUACCUUGGUGGCACCUUGAUUAGGUCCCUUUCCUCUCCUGAGUCUCUGCAAUAGGGUUAGGGGUGGGCAAGGAGAAUCUCAGAGGUCUGUCCUUCUCUGUCAUCUUCUGCUGCUGCGGGGCUGCAGUGAGCAGCGAGGAGGUACGUACAGAGCAAGAUGUUUGGGACCAAGACAGAGGGCGGGGAGUGGGUAAGUGUGGGCAGAGAGUGUCAUUCAUACGCCCCUGCUGCUCUUCUGGGCUGGUGUCCAGGAAUAGCUGUGGUGAGGACUACAUUUUUAAAGUGGGUCUUAAUGUUUUUCACUGCUGGAAAAUAUGCCUUUAUGGGCAUUUUUGCCCUCCAAGUUCCUGGACCGCGAUGCCUCCCACCCCUACCCCAAGCUCCCACCCACACUACUCACUUUAUUUUCCCUCUGACUGAAGCCUGUCUAUCUUUACUCCUACAUGCCGCCUCUGUCCCUUGCUUGCACAUGGAAGAAUGGGCUCAGGUCUUGUUGCUAUCUGUGUCUGUGAGCCAGAAGCAUGACUGGGGAGAUGUGACUAGGUUCACAGCUGGGUGGCGAGGUCCUGCCCAGAAACCAGCCUGGCAGAUGGGAGCAGAGUGCUGAAGCAAGGUGUAGGAGGCUCCUGGGGCUGGCACCACUGCCCUUCAGUUCACUAAAGGGAACGCAGUGGUCAUUGCCCAGGGAGACACAGAGGUUGGCAUGCAGCCUCUAUGUCAGAUAGUCAUGGUCAGGCCCAGUUCAGCCCUUUCCAAGGAAUGGGAAGUGAGAUAAUAAUAGUAAUGUGAAUAGUAAUGAGAUCACAAAUGAGGUGAUAAUAACACCCCAUCCAUAAUAACCCCCAACACAUUUCAUCAUCUUUUUUGCUGUUUGUGAGAUGCUCACAUCCUGGUGGUGGAGACGACUCAUGACGCAAGGAGUGUGAGAUCCUGCUGAUCCUGAGAGCCUGUGUGGUGCCAGCAAGCACCUCAGAGCCAGGAGAGCUUUCCUGAGGUUGUUGCUUAGAGUCACAGUUGACAGGACAGAAGAGAGGUCUAAGGGCAUUGUAGACAGAGGAGCAGAGAGUGUGAGCAGGGUCACCCCAGGGAAGGUGCAUGGUACUUGGUGCUGGGGAGAAGCUUGGUGUUGCUGGGAUAAAGUGGGCAUCGGGGGUGGUAUGUGACAACAGGCUGGAAAAUCAGGUUGAAGCAAGAUCGUGACGGACCUUCAAUGAUAGAGUUUUUACUGGGGCAUCGAAGCCCUGCAAGGUUUUUAACUUUGCCUGGAUCUCAGAAGCUCACUGUGGGUGCUGUGUGGAGGACAGACUAGAGCGGAGAGGCUGGAGGCCGGCUGGCCAGAGAGGAGGCUGUGGAAUGGUCUGGAAGAAGGGUCCUGAAGCCUGGGCUCCAGCAGGCUCUGAUCCAUGGGAAGCCCUGCAUAGAUGUUUGAAUGAAUACCUGGGAAAGAGGAGACAGACUUGCUGUGUGACCUUGAGUUAUUUACUUGUCCUCUGGGGGCUCCUAUUUUUCUCUUUAUUAACGAUGACACUGAAAGAGCCUCGUGAUUAAUAUCAGAGUUAGACCCCUGGCCCAGCUUCUCACUAGUUGGGUGACUUUGGGUGACUUAACCUGUCAAAACCACUGUGAUUUUUAUCCCCAGGAGGGAUUACCAAUAGCACCUGCAUCCAAGGGUAGCCGAGAGGAUUAACAGAGAGAUCCAGGCAGCACACAGGGCACAGCGCCUGGAGGAUAGCACACCUGUGUAACUUAUCCCUCAUCAUUGCUGUUUUUGCCAUCUCGUUUAUUACUAUUAUUGCUAUCAUGUCUAAUCUUUUCUUACUAUUUCAUGAUAACAAAACAUCUAACUAGUUAAACCACCAUAUCUGUCCUUGCAUCCUGUCUGCUGUGCUCUGGCUGCUCAUUGAGUAGCUUCUGUGCCAUAUUGGCUUUUAUUGGAUUUCAACUUGCAAAACUUUUAAGCCUCUCUGCCUACUCUUUCAAUCCCUUCUUUCCAUGCCAACCCCUGUCCAAAGUUGCGCUGAUUAAUUAACAGUGCUUACAGCAUCAUGGUGGGCAUUGGGAAUUCAAGGCUCUCACAGUGUGAUCUCAGGGGUCUUGGUCCUUGUCCUCUUCCGCAGCACUGUUACCCAAGCAUAGAGACUGGAAAGCUCUUCCCUCCUCCAGAUCAUCCCCUGAGCUGUUUCUUCCUCCUAACUCCCUGUGCCUCUCUGCCUCUCUCUCUCUCCCCCCCCCCACUCACAUACAUGCACGAAUGCACACACUCACUUUCCUGUGGGUUUCUGAAACCAUUCAAAGUCAAACUCUUAUCCCACUUCUUCCAGGAAGUCUUCUCAGGUCUCUGCUUCCAGGCACAGAUCUUGUCCCCAGCACCUCCCGGAGAGAGCCCUGUUUGUCUGUUGUAAGUACUCUGUUGAGUAGCCAGGGCCUUCUCUCUAGCUGUGCACAUUGCCUCCACCCCACACAUCUCAAGUGCUGUGUGCUUCGAGCUCGAGUUGAACUGAAUCCGGCCUAGCUCCAUCAUUUUAUAGGUAGGAGCACAAGGUUCCACUGAAAAAAUCCCUCUGCUCCCUUCCCAGCCCCAGUCCCAAGGCACAGGAUUCCUUGGGGGGCCCCCCACUGUUAGGAAGCUAAAGUCACAGAAAACACUAUUUCUCAACUACAAUCAACCAAAAACACAUUAUUUCUCAACCAAAAUCACAGAAAACACACUGGUUUUUGAGACAAGAGAGAAAAAUAUCUUUUCCUAGUGGUUUCAAAAAGAAGACAGAAUGAAGCACAUGUCUUUGUAUACGGCUUCCCAUCCCCAGCCCACAGUUUAUGUUUAGCCCAGGACUUGAGACGGAACAGAGUAUAGUUUUCAGAUAAACAGACAGGACGGUGAAAAGGUUGGUGGAUGUCGUACUGCAGAGACAGACAGAUCUGGGAGCAGGAUAGUCCAGAGGUUUUGUGACUCUUUAGUCCUUAGUUCUCUCUCCCUUGUCCCCUCUGCUCUCUCCUCCACCUGCCCUGCCCUCCCCAUACUUGCAGCCUGAACCCCACUCACCCCAUAGAGAUAAAGGUCCUGUGAGUGGGCUGUACAUCCCUUUCUGUUUGGCUUCUGGUCUCUUCCAGGCCUGAGUUCCCUUGGUCUCACCUAAUUUCCCUCAAGCCUUGCUCUGUGGGCCUGUGCCCAAGGUUUGGUAGCUGUGAUAUGUAAUUUAGGCCCCGUUUGCGGCUGGCAAAAUAUAUAAUGAGGAGUAGGGCUGGAGAAUGAUAAUAUUGUUGGAGA